UACGAAGGGGGCUAGCGUUGUUCGGAUUUACUGGGCGUAAAGCGCACGUAGGCGGAUCGAUCAGUCAGGGGUGAAAUCCCAGGGCUCAACCCUGGAACUGCCUUUGAUACUGUCGAUCUGGAGUAUGGAAGAGGUGAGUGGAAUUCCGAGUGUAGAGGUGAAAUUCGUAGAUAUUCGGAGGAACACCAGUGGCGAAGGCGGCUACCUGGGCCAGUUCUGACGCUGAGGCGCGAAAGCGUGGGGAGCAAACAGG
rnacentral:rRNA from 1 species